CCUACGGGAGGCAGCAGUGGGGAAUAUUGGGCAAUGGAGGAAACUCUGACCCAGCAACGCCGCGUGAAUGAUGAAGGUCUUCGGAUUGUAAAGUUCUUUUCUAAGGGAAGAAGAGAGUGACGGUACCUUAGGAAUAAGCCUCGGCUAACUACGUGCCAGCAGCCGCGGUAAUACGAAGGGGGCAAGCGUGGUUCGGAAUUACUGGGCGUAAAGGGAGUGUAGGCGGUUUAGUAAGAUAGUGGUGAAAUCCCAGGGCUUAACUUUGGAAUUGCCAUUAUAACUAUUAGACUAGAAUUACAGAGAGGAUAGUGGAAUUCCGAGUGUAGAGGUGAAAUGCGUAGAUAGUGGGUAGAACACCAGUGGCGAAGGCGACUAUCUGGCUGUACAUUGACGCUGAGGCUCGAAAGCGUGGGGAGCAAACAGGAUUAGAUACCCCAGUAGUC
rnacentral:rRNA from 1 species